AUUGAACGCUGGCGGCAGGCCUAACACAUGCAAGUCGAACGAGUGGCGGACGGGUGAGUAAUAUCUGGGAAACUGCCUGAUGGAGGGGGAUAACUACUGGAAAAGGUAGCUAAUAACGCAUACCAUCAGAUGUGCCUAGGUCGGAUUGGCUAGUUGGUGGGGUAAAGGCCUACCAAGGCGACGAUCCGCAACUGGUCUGAGAGGAUGCUCAGUCACACUGGAACGGAGACACGGUCCAGAAUCCGACGGGAGGCAGCAGUGGGGAAUAUUGGACAAGGGGCGAAAGCCUGAUCCAGCCAUGCCGCGUGUGUGAAGAAGGUCUUCGGAUUGGAAAGCACAUGAAGUUGGGGUGCGGUACCAACAGAAUAAGCACCUGCUAACUUCGUGCCAGCAGCCGCGGUAAUUC
rnacentral:rRNA from 1 species